GGGCCUGUUCCUUUUGAACUGACUGCUGGCCAGGAAACAUCAGGACCCAGCAUGGAAAUAGAGAACAAAUCUGGAAUCCACUGUGAGCCGUGAUCUUAGGCAACUCUGUUCCUGGAAUUGUUCCAGAGAUGCCACACGGUGAAGGUCACGGCCUGUGAACCAAAUGCUGUUCACAGGUACAUGACUGAAAUGCAAGCUAAAAUCUGCUGCCAACGCAAACACAGUUAGAAAACUUCCAGCAUUCAGUGCUCCUGGCUUCUCCGAAAGGUAAUAAAACCUGACCAUCCUGGGUCUGUGCCGUGCAAGAUGCCAAUACGUGGGAGCUCAAAGUUUACCCUGCCUCUUCACAACCCGGGAGCCUCCACCCUACUUCCUGGUGGCCUUUCUGUUGCCUCUGACCUGGAUCCAAGAGUCACUGCAUCUUGUGGUGUCUACUUUAGAGCAAGUCAACCCAGGAGUCGCAGAGGAAACAGAGCAGCAUCUUGUAGUGUGAAGAACCAGCUCCCAUUCUGUAUUUAACCAUCUGUCUUGUCUUUUAUCCGGUGGUGCUGAGACGGGGAUCCUUGGAGCGAAGUGCAGUGCAGACACUUGAUGAGCUUCCGGUCGUCCCUGUUCAAUCACGUGGGGCUUUCCAGGAUCACUGUGUUGCCGAAUGGCAUAAGAUGAGGUGCCAG
ensembl:lincRNA Gm11374 predicted gene 11374